rnacentral:rRNA from 1 species
GAUGAACGCUGGCGGCGUGCCUAAUACAUGCAAGUCGAGCGAACGGACGAGAAGCUUGCUUCUCUGAUGUUAGCGGCGGACGGGUGAGUAACACGUGGAUAACCUACCUAUAAGACUGGGAUAACUUCGGGAAACCGGAGCUAAUACCGGAUGAUAUUUUGAACCGCAUGGUUCAAAAGUGAAAGACGGUCUUGCUGUCACUUAUAGAUGGAUCCGCGCUGCAUUAGCUAGUUGGUAAGGUAACGGCUUACCAAGGCAACGAUGCAUAGCCGACCUGAGAGGGGGAUCGGCAACACUGGAACUGAGACACGGUCCAGACUCCUACGGGAGGCAGAAGUAGGAAAUCUUGCGCAAUGGGCGAAAGCCUGACGGAGCAACGCCGCGUGAGUGAUGAAGGUCUUCGGAUCGUAAAACUCUGUUAUUAGGGAAGAACAUAUGUGUAAGUAACUGUGCACAUCUUGACGGUACCUAAGCAGAAAGCCACGGCUAACUACGU